CCAUGGUCGUAGAGCUUCCCUAGAUUGUUAUGACCCACAAACAAAGCCAAUAAAACACCAAAAGUAUUCUGCUACGACGGGCUGAUGUUGUCUUCGAUGAUUACGACGGACACACAAACACACUACACCAACACCAACGAGAUCAUGGGACGGAACUCGCACCCUGGUCAGGAUGUCACAACCUUUCGAAAUUCGCCGUGGAGAUUACAGGUGCGGCAGGGCAAACAUCGUACAAACUGUAGAGUUAUGUUGUUUUUUUUAAUGAACUUUAUCAACCUACACAAUACUACCACAGAGCACUGAGGCCAGACAGACAGACCAGACUCCUGCCAUACAGAAGCACACACACACACACGCAGCCUACAGAGAGAAGGUGGUCACGGAGACCAGCCAACUAAAGCGAUGGAACCGACCCGACCCGAGCAGCUCGAAUGAACGACGAUGAAUGACUGACUGACACUGGCAGAAGUCGGGCUGAAUGGGCCCUGUCAUUGUACAAGAAGUGAGCAAAAUGGCUGAAUGGAGAAGGUGAGUAAGGAUGGGUUGGUAUUUGUGAGGUGGUGGUUUAAUGUGGUUUCAUGAAUGAAUAUACUGUUUUGUGAAUGAA